rnacentral:rRNA from 1 species
AUUGAACGCUGGCGGCAGGCCUAACACAUGCAAGUCGAGCGAGUGGCGGACGGGUGAGUAAUGUCUGGGACACUGCCUGAUGGAGGGGGAUAACUACUGGAAACGGUAGCUAAUACCGCAUACCAUCGGAUGUGCCCAGAUGGGAUUAGCUUGUUGGUGGGGUAACGGCUCCCAAGGGAGACGAUCCCUAGCUGGGCUGAGAGGAUGACCAGCCACAGUGGAACUGAGACACGGUCCAGACUGCUACGGGAGGCAGCAGUGGGGAAUAUUGCACAAUGGGCGCAAGCCUGAUGCAGCCAUGCCGCGUGUAUGAAGAAGGCCUUCGGGUUGUAGAGUACUUUCAGCGGGGAGGCGUUACCCGCAGAAGAAGCACCGGCUAACUUCGUGCCAGCAGCCGCGGUAAUAC